ensembl:antisense St8sia3os ST8 alpha-N-acetyl-neuraminide alpha-2,8-sialyltransferase 3, opposite strand
GGUCAGCAUCCCUUUGGUGCUGUGCAGAGACGUCUAGCCAUGGAACAACUGUUUGGUGCAGAGUAGACUUGGAGUCAUGGAGCUUUUGCAGGUCCAUCGAACUAGGAGGCAUCUAAGGGAGACAAGCGUGCACUUCAAUCAAACUUGUGAUGAGAGAAGAGUCACAACUCUUGGAGAUUAAGAGAAUUUGGAAAGUGAAAGAAAUCCAAAUAGGUACUCACUGGGCCCUCAGUGUAUCAGAUUCUGGUGAAGACCUGGCAGCCUUGGAUCUUAGAGAUGACAGGACACAAAGAGGGAAGUCCACCGAGGUCCUUCAAAGGACUCAGGCUUUCAAAGGUGGCAGCAAAGAUCUGUUGAAACCUUAAUCCUCAGCAUUCCAGAACACAGCUUCCUCAACGGCCAUCCCAUCUGUAAUUAGUUUGGAUGAAGUCUUCCUGGGAUAGGAUGGUCUGUGGUGUGAUGCCCCAAAGCAUGUCAUCCAAAAGAAACCACAGAUUGCAUAUUCUGAAGACCCAGAGACAGAGUUUAGGGUGUGAUGAGGUAGAGAAUUCUCCAAGGGAAAGAAUUGUUCAUUAUAACAGGUAGCUGGAAUAUAGUGGACACUCAACAAACACUUGCUUCAUAUUACUUAAUAAUGAAUGAACACCAAGUGUAUUCUGUUGGCUAA